ensembl:lncRNA SOX2-OT SOX2 overlapping transcript
GGCUAGGUCUUGGAGGCUGGUGUAAGGCGAUGUGGGUGAAGGCAGGAGGCUGAUGGAAAGACUGGGGGGAAGAAAAGCCGAAAUGGAUUCACGGUGCCUUGGAUGAAGGACGAGAGGGGAACUGCAAGCUCCUUCAACUGGUUCUGUCCGGUGAGAAGUGAUCAAGCUUGGGCUGACAAGAGGCUCAGGGAGCCCUCACGUUCUUUCGCUUUUUUACCUGCCAAUCAAACUGCUACAAGACAACACCCUGAUCUGGCAUGGACAUCGCGGGUCCAAGCCUGUAGCCCCAAAUCGGAUAAUCUCUGCAGCUGAUAACAAGCAAAAGAGAAGCCAGGCAACAGCCAUAUUAAAGAAGAAAACAAUCAACUCUGAGGAAGAAAUGUAAUGAAUUGAGUGCUGUCAGAGAUGUCUUCUGUUUGAACAAUCUGCGAUGGGCUGAAUGGCAGGGACUCCCUCAUCCAGUGCAGACACAGCCCAGGCAGACAGAAGGAAACGGAGCAUUAAUCCAACUGCAGUCACCCCAAAGUACAGGCCAUUUGGAUCCAGAAGAGAAACUGGUUCCUUCUACAAGC